AGAGUUUCAAUAGAAGAGAGUAUCAAAAGAUUACAUUGUUUUCCCCAACAACAAUAAGGUUUAGUUCACCAUAGUCAUGGUGAAUCUAGAUGAAAAGUGGAUGGAGAAUGGAAAAGCAAACCCUAGAUAAGAAGAAAUGGAGCCUAAGCAUCCAAGAGAUCCUCUCCAGAGAGUGAAAUUAGGUCUGGCCGCCCCCUUCUGUCAAAAGAAUGAGAUUGAAAUCGCAAUAGGGUUAUUUAAAGUUGAGGAGCGUCACAGAAAACAGGCCCAAGCCCAGCAGACAACCGCCCGACGCCACACUUAUUCCGCCCGGCGGUUUCCCUCAAGCUGCGCUACCGCCUAACGGUAGGGGUCUACCGCCCGGCGGUUUGCCUCUAAUUGCAAAUCCGCCCAGCGUCCAUGCCUGGUGCCAACUCCUCGCACUGGACCGCCCAAC
rnacentral:lncRNA from 1 species